rnacentral:rRNA from 1 species
GACGAACGCUGGCGGCGUGCUUAACACAUGCAAGUCGAACGGAAAGGCCCUGCUUUUGUGGGGUGCUCGAGUGGCGAACGGGUGAGUAACACGUGAGUAACCUGCCCUUGACUUUGGGAUAACUUCAGGAAACUGGGGCUAAUACCGGAUAGGAGCUCCUGCUGCAUGGUGGGGGUUGGAAAGUUUCGGCGGUUGGGGAUGGACUCGCGGCUUAUCAGCUUGUUGGUGGGGUAGUGGCUUACCAAGGCUUUGACGGGUAGCCGGCCUGAGGGGGUGACCGGCCAAUUUGGAAAUGGGAUACGGCCCAAACUCCUACGGGGGGCAGCAGGGGGGAAUAUUGCACAAGGGGGGGAAGCCUGAUGCAGAAACGCCGCGGGGGGGAUGACGGCCUUCGGGUUGUAAACCGUUUUCGCCUGUGACGAAGCGGGAGGGGCGGUAAUGGGUAAAGAAGCACCGGCUAACUACGU